rnacentral:rRNA from 1 species
GAAGACGGCCAUAGCAAGCAGGAAACACCUCUUCCCAUCCGAACAGAGAAGUUAAGCUGCUUG